GUCUUCCUCCUGCUGCAGCACCUUCUUCAUCAUCGUGCCAGCUGUGAUCCCACCCGGCCCGGCUCAGUUGUUACCUGGUACCAGGAGAAGUUGGUUCUGAUGCACCAUACAUCUGAAAUAAAGUUGCUCCUAAAGUUAUCA